GGGACAACAGUUGGAAACGACUGCUAAUACCGCAUAAGCCCACGGGUCGGCAUCGACCAGAGGGAAAAGGAGCAAUCCGCUUUGAGAUGGCCUCGCGUCCGAUUAGCUAGUUGGUGGGGUAAUGGCCCACCAAGGCGACGAUCGGUAGCUGGACUGAGAGGUUGAACGGCCACAUUGGGACUGAGACACGGCCCAGACUCCUACGGGAGGCAGCAGUGGGGAAUAUUGCACAAUGGGGGAAACCCUGAUGCAGCGACGCCGCGUGGAGGAAGAAGGUCUUCGGAUUGUAAACUCCUGUUGUUGAGGAAGAUAAUGACGGUACUCAACAAGGAAGUGACGGCUAACUACGUGCCAGCAGCCGCGGUAAAACGUAGGUCACAAGCGUUGUCCGGAAUUACUGGGUGUAAAGGGAGCGCAGGCGGGAAGACAAGUUGGAAGUGAAAUCUAUGGGCUCAACCCAUAAACUGCUUUCAAAACUGUUUUUCUUGAGUAGUGCAGAGGUAGGCGGAAUUCCCGGUGUAGCGGUGGAAUGCGUAGAUAUCGGGAGGAACACCAGUGGCGAAGGCGGCCUACUGGGCACCAACUGACGCUGAGGCUCGAAAGUGUGGGUAGCAAACAGGAUUAGAUACCCUGGUAGUCCACACCGUAAACGAUGAUUACUAGGUGUUGGAGGAUUGACCCCUUCAGUGCCGCAG
rnacentral:rRNA from 1 species